rnacentral:rRNA from 1 species
AGAAUUAUUGCUGCGGUUAAAAAGCUCGUAGUUGGAUCUGUGCUAGCCGUCCGGUGCACACUUUGUGUGUUACUGGUUUGGUUGGCUUUUCUGCCGGUCUUUCCCCGGCGUUGGCCUUUACCGGUCGGCGUCGGUGGGCUGGCGAGUUUACUUUGAACAAAUCAGAGUGCUUCAAACAGGCGUUUCGCUUGAAUGUUCGUGCAUGGAAUAAUAGAAGAGGAUUUCGGUCCGAUUUUAUUGGUUUUGCUGACCGAGAUAAUGGUUAACAGAGACAAACGGGGCCAUUCGUAUUGCUACGUGAGAGGUGAAAUUCUUGGACCGUAGCAAGACGGACUACAGCGAAAGCAUUUGGCAAGAAUGUCUUCAUUAAUCAAGAACGAAAGUCAGAGGUUCGAAGGCGAUCAGAUACCGCCCUAGUUCUGACCGUAAACGAUGCCAACUAGCGAUCCGCCGGCGGAUUUAUUCGCCCUGGUGGGGAGCUUCCCGGAAACGAAAGUCUUCCGGUUCCGGGGGAAGUAUGGUUGCAAAGCUGAAACUUAAAGGAAUUGACGGAAGGGCACCACCAGGAGUGGAGCCUGCGGCUUAAUUUGACUCAACACGGGGAAACUCACCCGGCCCGGACACCGUAAGGAUUGACAGAUUGAUAGCUUUCUCAUGAUUCGGUGGAUGGUGGUGCAUGGCCGUUCUUAGUUCGUGGAGCGAUUUGUCUGGUUUAUUCCGAUAACGAGCGAGACUCUAGCCUACUAAAUAGUUGGCUCAUUGCUUCUGUGGGCACAACUUCUUAGAGGGAUUUUCGGUGUUCAGCCGCACGAAAUUGAGCAAUAACAGGUCUGUGAUGCCCUUAGAUGUCCGGGGCUGCACGCGCGCUACACUGGCAAAAUCAGCGUGCUUGUCCUUCCCCGAAAGGGGUUGGUAAACCGGUGAAAAUUUGCCGUGAUUGGGAUCGGACAUUGCAAUUAUUGUCCGUGAACGAGGAAUUCCUUGUAGGGGCGAGUCAUCAACUCGCUCUGAAUACGUCCCUGCCCUUUGUACACACCGCCCGUCGCUGCCCGGGACUGAGCCAUUUCGAGAAAUUCGGGGACGGUUAGUGUUCCGGCUUCGGUCGGUAUGCAGACUGGAACCGAUUUAAUCGCAGUGGCUUGAACCGGGCAAAAGUCGUAA